rnacentral:other from 1 species
UCUCCCCUGCUAUGUUCGUGAUUAGUGGAAUAUUCAGAACCAACACCAUCAAACAGGGUGCCUUCCCUGACUGACAGAUGGCAUGCCCGUCUGACGGGAAACCAAAAGCAGUUAAUUAAGACACCCACCUAUCUAGGAUAGGUUCAGAUGAAUAGACUACUUACACGGCAUUGCAGUGGGGGAGAU